AGUCUAGGAUUUCCGAAUGGAGCAAUCUAUUAAGAUGGAGUCUUAAUACGAAAGAGGGAACCACGUGAACUGAAACAUCUAAGUAACGUGAGGAAAAGAAAGUAAAAACGAUACCCAAAGUAGCGGCGAGCGAACUGGGUCAAGCCUAAACCUUAAAUAUGUCAAGGAUACAGCCGUUGUAUUUAAGGGGUUGAGGGACAAAGUAGUGAAGAACUGUAAGAUAUUCAAUAUAGUGUAUUGAUGAAUUAGAAUUGUAUGGAAAGAUAAACCGCAGAAGGUGAGAGUCCUGUAUAAGUAAAUCCUUACACAUAUAACUUUGCUCCCAAGUAACAUGGAACACGAGGAAUUCUGUGUGAAUCAGUGAGGACCAAAUCUCAUAAGGCUAAAUACUCUUACUAACCGAUAGCGCAUAGUACCGUGAGGGAAAGGUGAAAAGAACCCCUGGAGGGGAGUGAAAUAGAACCUGAAAUUGUGUGCUUACAAGCGGUCAGAGCCCAUUAGGGUGAUGGCGUGCCUUUUGGAGAAUGAUCCUGCGAGUUACGUUAAACGGCGAGGUUAAGUAUAACGGAGCCGAAGGGAAACCAAGUCUUAAUAGGGCGAUAUAGUCGUUUGGCGUAGACGCGAAAUCUGGUGAUCUAAACCUGUCCAGGAUGAAGCUGUGGUAAGACACAGUGGAGGUCCUAACCCACCGCCGUUGAAAAGUUGGGGGAUGAGGUAGGUUUAGGGGUGAAAAGCCAAUCGAACCAGGAGAUAGCUCGUUCUCUCCGAAAUGCAUCUAGGUGCAGCCUUGAGUGUUCAAUUAUGGGGGUAGAGCACUGAAUGAUCUAGGGGGCAUAUUGCUUACUGAAAUCAAUCAAACUCCAAAUACCAUAAUUUAUAGCUCAGGAGUGAGACCAUGGGAGUUAACUUCCAUUGUCAAAAGGGAAACAACCCAGACCACCAGCUAAGGUCCCUAAUUAUAACUAAGUGGGAAAGGAGGUGGAGAUUCACAAACAACUAGGAGGUUGGCUUAGAAGCAGCCAUACCUUUAAAGAGUGCGUAAUAGCUCACUAGUCGAGAGUCUCUGCGCCGACAAUGUAACGGGGCUAAGUUAUAAACCGAAGCUGUGGAAUCCUUAUGGAUUGGUAGGAGAGCGUUCUGUAGGCUGUUGAAGGAGAAGGGUAACCAACUUUGGAGGUAUCAGAAGUGAGAAUGCAGGAAUAAGUAGCGAGAAAGGGGGCGAGAAUCCCCCUCGCCGGAAGACCAAGGUUUUCAGGGUAAAGCUUGUCUUCCCUGAGUAAGCCGGGACCUAAGCCCAGGCUAUAAUGCGUAGGCGAAUGGAAAACAGAUUAAUAUUUCUGUGCCAGUCAUUUAUUGUGAUGGAGGGACGCAGAAGGGUAUGUGCGCGGACGAUCGGUUGUGUCCGUAGAAGUAUGUAGGGUGACUUAGUAGGUAAAUCCAUUAAGUUAUAUCUGAGGUAUGAUAUACAGUCGUAAGAUGAAUGUACAAAUCCCACGCUGCCAAGAAAAACUUCUAACGUUAAUAUAUGACUGCCCGUACUGUAAACCGACACAGGUGGUCAGGAUGAGAAAUCUAAGGCGGACAGGCUAACUCUCGUUAAGGAACUCUGCAAAAUAACCUCGUAACUUCGGGAGAAGAGGAGCCCUUGUGUGUGAGUAUACACGCGAUACAAAGCGCACGAGGGUCGCAGUGAAGAGGCUCAAGCAACUGUUUAACAAAAACACAGGUCUAUGCUAAGCUGUAAGGCGAUGUAUAUGGGCUGACACCUGCCCAGUGCUGGAAGGUUAAGAGGAGGAGUGAGAGCUCCGAAUUGAAGCCCCAGUGAACGGCGGCCGUAACUAUAACGGUCCUAAGGUAGCGAAAUUCCUUGUCGGGUAAGUUCCGACCUGCACGAAUGGUGUAAUGAUUUGAGCGCUGUCUUGACGGGAGGCCUGGUGAAAUUGUAUUACCGGUGAAGAUACCGGUUACCUACAGUAGGACGGAAAGACCCCAUGGAGCUUUACUGUAGCUUGGUAUUGGGUUUUGGCAUUGCAUGUAUAGGAUAGUUGGGAGACUAUGAUGGUAUGGCGCUAGCUGUAUCGGAGUCAUCGGUGGAAUACCAACCAUUCAAUGCUGAAAUUCUAAUCUGUGGUUUGAAGCCACGGAGACAGUGCUAGGUGGGCAGUUUGACUGGGGCGGUCGCCUCCGAAAGAGUAACGGAGGCGUUCAAAGGUUCUCUCAGGUUGGAUGGAAAUCAACCAUAGAGUGCAAUGGCAUAAGAGAGCUUGACUGCAAGACUGACGGGUCGAGCAGAUGCGAAAGCAGGACAUAGUGAUCCGGCGAUUCCGAAUGGAAGGGU
rnacentral:rRNA from 1 species